rnacentral:lncRNA from 1 species
CUAUAAUUGUCCUAGGACUUAGUGUAGUUCUUUCUGAACCCAAUGCUUGAAUUAUUGAAUUGUAUUCUCUUCGGUGUAAGCCAUGGUCCUCUUUGAAGCUCAAAGUCUAUGUACAAAAACAAACAAACAAAACUAAAUACAGAAAGAACUCAGACUCAGUGGUUAGCAGUAUAACCCCAGGUCCCUUCCCUCCUAGACACUAAGCAGAGUCAUGAUGCAGAUUACUAUUCCUCAGAACACACUGGCUUAAUGUGUU